rnacentral:rRNA from 1 species
GGGUCAGUAGGUUGGUCGUGCCACCGGUACGUACUGGUCUCACUGAUUCCUCCUUCCUGAAGAACCGUAAUGCCAUUAAUUUGGUGUUGCGGGGAAACAGGACUGUUACUUUGAAAAAAUUAGAGUGUUUAAAGCAAGCUAACGCUUGAAUAAAUUAGCAUGGGAUAAUGAAAUAGGACGAUCGAUCCUAUUUUGUUGGUUUCUAGGAUUGACGUA